rnacentral:misc_RNA from 1 species
ACCUACUGUUUAAUUUUGAGGGUUCGUUUUUACGAAUACUCAAAAUUAGCACUUUUAGCAACAGAAUAAACUGAACGCAUGUGAAGUUUGUUUGUUGGCGCUGUGCGUUAGCACUUUAAGCAACGGAAUUUAUUCGUUGGCGCUGUGCGUUAGCACUUUGAAAACUGCAUAUAUAUUUAGUGAUAUGACAUCUAAUUUGUAAUAUAUAAAGCUGAUAACUUUUUAAAAUUAUCGAAGUUGAUAGCUUCUAAUCUAUCAAACCUUUUUAACUGGUCAA